CCUACGGGAGGCAGCAGUGAGGAAUAUUGGACAAUGGGCGCAAGCCUGAUCCAGCCAUGCCGCGUGCAGGAUGACGGUCCUAUGGAUUGUAAACUGCUUUUGCACAGGAGGAAACAACUCUACGUGUAGAGUCUUGACGGUACUGUGAGAAUAAGGAUCGGCUAACUCCGUGCCAGCAGCCGCGGUAAUACGGAGGAUCCAGGCGUUAUCCGGAAUCAUUGGGUUUAAAGGGUCCGUAGGCGGUUUAGUAAGUCAGUGGUGAAAGCCCAUCGCUCAACGGUGGAACGGCCAUUGAUACUGCUAGACUUGAAUUAUUAGGAAGUAACUAGAAUAUGUAGUGUAGCGGUGAAAUGCUUAGAGAUUACAUGGAAUACCAAUUGCGAAGGCAGGUUAACUACUAAAUGGAUUGACGCUGAUGGACGAAAGCGUGGGUAGCGAACAGGAUUAGAUACCCUGGUAGUCCACGCCGUAAACGAUAGGAUACUAGCUGUUGGGCGCAAGUUCAGUGGCUAAGACGAAAGUAGAUAAGUAUCCCACCUGGGGAGUACGUUCGCAAGAAUGAAAACUUAAAGGAAAUUGAGG
rnacentral:rRNA from 1 species